GUAGUACUCCCUCGGUCCGGAAAUACUUGUCGGAGAAAUGGAUAAAAAAGGAUGUAUCUGAAACUAAAAUACGUCUAGAUACAUCCAUUCCUCCGACAAGUAUUUCUGGACGGAGGGAGUAAUAU
rnacentral:pre_miRNA from 1 species